GGUCUGUUAGCUCAGCUGGUUAGAGCGUGGUGCUCAAAAUUCCAAAGUCAUGGGUUCGAUCCCCACAUGGGCCA